UACGAAGGGGGCUAGCGUUGCUCGGAAUGACUGGGCGUAAAGGGCGCGUAGGCGGCGAUCACAGUCAGAUGUGAAAUUCCUGGGCUUAACCUGGGGGCUGCAUUUGAUACGUGGUUGCUUGAGUGGGGAAGAGGGUCGUGGAAUUCCCAGUGUAGAGGUGAAAUUCGUAGAUAUUCGCAAGAACACCAGUGGCGAAGGCGGCUCACUGGCCCGGUACUGACGCUGAGGUGCGAAAGCGUGGGGAGCAAACAGG
rnacentral:rRNA from 1 species